GCCACAUCAUGUUAAAACACCUGUUCCCAUUAGUUCACCAAAGUUAAGCAACAUCAUGUCUGGUCAGUACCUAAAUGGCUAACCACUUGGGAAUACCAGGUGCUGUGAG